rnacentral:rRNA from 1 species
GGGGGGGGGGGGGGGGGGGGCGAGGGGGUGCAGGGCGGGCGGGGGGACGCGAGGCGGGCUGCUGUGAUGUUAGCGGCGGACGGGUGAGUAACACGUGGAUAACCUCCCUAUACGACGUGGAUAACUUCUGGAACCCGUAGCUAAUACCGGAUGAUAUUUUACACCGCAUGGUUCCCAAGUGAACGACGGUCUUGCUUUCACUUAUAGAUGGAUCCGCGCUGCAUUAGCUAGUUGGUAAGGUAACGGCUUACCAAGUCAACGAUGCAUAUCCGACCUGAGAGGGUGAUCGGCAACACUGGAACUGAGACAUGGUCCAGACUCCUACGGGAGGCAGCAGUAGGGAAUCUUCCGCAAUGGGCGAAAGCCUGACGGAGCAACGCCGCGUGAGUGAUGAAGGUCUUCGGAUCGUAAAACUCUGUUAUUAGGGAAGAACAUAUGUGUAAGUAACUGUGCACAUCUUGACGGUACCUAAUCAGAAAGCCACGGCUAACUACGUG